CACAGCACGAAUUCCCCAGCAAUCUGCCAGAGAACCUACACAGUGGCUGAGGGAUGUGCUCCAAAGUGUUUGGGUGACUUGUGCCUCUCCUUUAACCAUGUGGUACCUGCAGGUCACCCAGCUCAGCUGGCUCCUACCUGAGCCACAGCUCACCUUCCGUGCACAGGAGCCUUGCAGAGGCUGCAGCCAAGUGCCACCUGACAAGCCCCAGCAACUUUUGACAGCUGAAGGGAGUAAAAGAAUUAGCAGAAAUGUGAAUGCUGUGAAGAAAGAGGACUAAAAGCUUUCCAGAAAUUAUAACUGAAUACUCAUUUGAAGACUAUGAUGCCGCUGGUCUCAGAAGAAAAAUGUCCAUAUUACUCCUAUCACAUCUUGACCUUCACACACUCAUUCUCCUUUUCAUGGGUAAAAGUUGGUGGUAACUGGAUGAGUGCAACUACAAGGAUGACACCUGGAGAAUAUCUAGGAGAUUUAGGUAUGCAGGGCAGAGAACACUCCUGUGAGUUGGGAUGAGGAUUUUUCCUGGACAUGGAGCAGAGCCUUUUUUUAAACAGUGAAACUGAAGUAAUAUGUGAGAUAUGAGCAGUAAUAUCAGUGAAUGAGGCAUAUUUCAGUGUUGCCUAUGAGGCCUAAGUGAACCAAUUCAACCCUGAGAUAUUCUUGUUCUUUCUUGCUUUGGUGAAAGCUACAUUUCUAUUUGUAUAUGGAAAAUAAAAUUUGUGUGACUACAGUGAAUAUACA
rnacentral:lncRNA from 1 species